rnacentral:tRNA from 1 species
CAGGGAGACAACACAAUGAUUUUGAUGCCUGAGUGCUUUUAUUCUUAGGCCGAAAUCCUGUCACCUUGGGUCGAUCGGUACCUCAGCUUUGAAGUCAAGGAUCAGCAGCAAUGUUGAUUGCUUGAUGGAGAUUUUCAGUUCCUAAACUUUGUCUAGGUCACACCCCAAAAGGGAUGAGACUCCUGGGCCAUUAGCUCAGGUGGUUAGAGCGCACCCCUGAUAAGGGUGAGGUCCCUGGUUCAAGUCCGGGAUGGCCCAUAUCUCUAUGUUGGGGGUAUAGCUCAGUUGGUAGAGCGCCUGCUUUGCAAGCAGGAUGUCAGCGGUUCGAGUCCGCUUACCUCCACUGAUUACCACCUCUUCCAUAAUCUGUUGAAGGGAAAAUUUUUUGAGUUGUGAUCAUUAUCCUGAACGAAUCUAGCUUCCUAAUGAAACCAUUAAGAUGCUGGACUCAUUGAAUUAUUUUUCAUUGUUUUCAGAGAACCUUGACAACUGCAUAGAUUAUUUUUAAAGACAAUAAGCAUCUCUAAUGAUGCAGAUUUAUUAUUUUUGCAAAUGCAUUAAUAACAAUUCUAUUAAGCUGAUGCUUCAAUUUUGAAGUUAUU